UACGGGAGGCAGCAGUAGGGAAUCUUCCACAAUGGACGCAAGUCUGAUGGAGCAACGCCGCGUGAGUGAAGAAGGGUUUCGGCUCGUAAAGCUCUGUUGUUGGUGAAGAAGGACAGGGGUAGUAACUGACCUUUGUUUGACGGUAAUCAAUUAGAAAGUCACGGCUAACUACGUGCCAGCAGCCGCGGUAAU
rnacentral:rRNA from 1 species